GGUCUUAGUUAGUAUAUGUGCAUUAGACUAAAACUAUUGCCCACAAAAACAGUUGAAUUAUCAAGAAGGAUGUAUUAUAAGAGAUAUUUACGAAUUAAGCAAAAUCGAGGCUAACAGAGAAUAGGAAAAUUUAAUUUAUUGACCAAUCUUAUUAUUCCAAUUAUUAAUAUAAGAUGAUUUUUUGUGAAAUACAAAAUGAUUGGUAUUAAAAUAAUAGAAGAACAAUAAUAAUUUAAGACUUCAUAUUACUGAUUGGAGGAGUGCAACAUAGAGGCAUAUGACAGACAGAUGAGCCCCAUGGUUCACCAUAUCUGACACAAUGCGUACCUUGUACAUUGCCAACUAGACCACUAACAAUAGUAACGAGUAACACAACAAAUGUUAAGAACAUCUUCAAAAAAGUAUCCAUUUUCCCAAGUUUUAUUUUUCAAGUGGCAAAAUGGAUAUCUUAAAUGUGAGUGAUCUAUGUUAAAUCAAU
rnacentral:lncRNA from 1 species